rnacentral:tRNA from 1 species
GCGGGUAUAGUUCAGAGGUAGAGCGUGUGCUUAGUAUGCACGAGGUCCUGGGUUCAGUCCCCAGUACCUCCA